UCUUGGAUGCCCUUGAGUUCAAAGGUGAAUUGCAGAUUGCAGCCCAUGUGCCUCCAGCCUUAAAUGGAAGCCAAUUAGGGGGGAAUCACCUCAACCACCAAUGUGCAGCAUUCAUCUGUAUGAUGGGACAGCAGCCACAUUGCACCAGAUCGCCCCCACACACUAGCCUACUCUGGGGAGGAGAUGGAGUGAUGAAGACAAUCAGUACUGUGGGGAUGAUUCAGAGGAUGAUGGACAGAGACCAUUGCCAAUGGGCAAAUUUGGCCAGGAUGUCGGGAUUACAGGCCUUCUUUUUUCCAGGGACAUCCUGGGAUUUUAAAUAACCACAAAGAGCCAGGACCUUGGUUUAACGUCUCAUCCGAAGAAUGGUUUAAGAUGGGUUUGAACCCUAGUGAGAUAUGAUUACAAUGUGUCCUUUAGCAUUUAUGUCAAGUGCAAUGUUUUUACCAGUGGUUUUGAUGGGGUGGUGGUGGUUUGAUGGAACGGGGUGGUGAUGGCGCAGUGGAUAAGACACAUGCCUUUGGUGUGAGAGACCUGGGUUCGAAUCCAC